CCUACGGGAGGCAGCAGUAGGGAAUCUUCCACAAUGGGCGAAAGCCUGAUGGAGCAACGCCGCGUGGGUGAAGAAGGUCUUCGGAUCGUAAAACCCUGUUGUUAGAGAAGAAAGUGCGUGAGAGUAACUGUUUACGUUUCGACGGUAUCUAACCAGAAAGCCACGGCUAACUACGGGCCAGCAGCCGCGGUAAUGCGUAGGUGGCAAGCGUUAUCCGGAUUUAUUGGGCGUAAAGGGAACGCAGGCGGUCUUUUAAGUCUGAUGUGAAAGCCUUCGGCUUAACCGGAGUAGUGCAUUGGAAACUGGGAGACUUGAGUGCAGAAGAGGAGAGCGGAACUCCAGGUGUAGCGGUGAAAUGCGUAGAUAUAUGGAAGAACACCAGUGGCGAAAGCGGCUCUCUGGUCUGUAACUGACGCUGAGGUUCGAAAGCGUGGGUAGCAAACAGGAUUAGAUACCCGAGUAGUC
rnacentral:rRNA from 1 species